AGGAUCAUCGAGGACAAAAGGAAUUUUAGAGCCAAAUUGCACCUUGGUUGACCGAGUUGCUGGACCAAGACAUUGGCUAGAUGAUUGGCGACCUCUGAGCCGGUGAUUACAGUUUCCCAGUAGGGUUAGGCUCCAAGUGAGGACAAGACAGAGCUCGGUGACGAUGGUAGCGCCGAAUUACCGUGACAUCCGCCAAGACCGGUAGAGCCGGAUAGCUAUUGCGACGAGCUGAGGAAAGAUAAUUCGGUCAACUGGACUAGGAGCAGGCCUAGGUGUUGCCGGCCGAAUCCAUAAUGAGACACGCCAGAUCGGGAGGAGUCGGUCCAGCGAUACGAGGCCAUAAAGCAUAACAGCAAGUUGGUGGCUGAAGGUGUCAAGGCGGUGCCGUGUGUCUGCUACCGACGAGCGUUUGCAAGGAACAGCAGGUUGAACGGCCUUCCGUUACGUGGCAGCCGGAAACACAUCGUAAAAGGUGUCGUCGUGACUGUCGUUUCAACCAGUUUGGAACCUGGUUCCGGCUAUUUGUGCUAAAGUUGAAGAGGUUGGAAGCUAGCCAAACCGUGGAACUAACAAGAUUGUGCUGACAACGGGAUACCGAGGUCUACGUUACGCCGAUGGUUAUAAUCGAUCGAACGAUGUGACAACGUUGACCGGAGCGAAGAAGUUGCCAUAGGAGGCCAACAAGCCGGAACCAGUUUGAGAACUUGGCACUGCCUCGAAGUGUUCUGACUGUGGCUUUCCGAUAUUGAUCGGACACAGGCAUUGUUUAUAAUUUAUAUUGUGUAAAAUUGUCGAAUAUGUUUUUAUCAUUAAGUCAUUGUAAUCAUUUUGUUAAUAAACUUAAAGAAACAUUGUUCAACUCAUAGUUUCAUUGAAA
rnacentral:lncRNA from 1 species